AUUGAACGCUGGCGGCGUGCUUUACACAUGCAAGUCGAACGCGAAAGCGGGGCAACCCGCAAGUAGAGUGGCGAACGGGUGAGUAACGCAUCGGAACGUGCCCAGUCGUGGGGGACAACCAGUCGAAAGACAGGCUAAUACCGCAUACGCUGGAGACAGGAAAGCGGGGGACCUCGCAAGGGGCCUCGCGCGAUUGGAGCGGCCGAGUGUCCGAUUAGCUAGUUGGUGGGGUAAGAGGCCCACCAAGGCGACGAUCGGUAGCUGGUCUGAGAGGAUGAUCAGCCACACUGGGACUGAGACACGGCCCAGACUCCUACGGGAGGCAGCAGUGGGGAAUUUUGGACAAUGGGGGAAACCCUGAUCCAGCCAUGCCGCGUGAGGGAAGAA
rnacentral:rRNA from 1 species